UGACCUGCGGAAGGAUCAUUN
rnacentral:rRNA from 1 species